rnacentral:rRNA from 1 species
UACGUAGGGGGCAAGCGUUGUCCGGAAUCAUUGGGCGUAAAGAGCGUGUAGGCGGUUUGGUAAGUCGGCUGUGAAAGUCCAGGGCUCAACCCUGGGAUGCCGGUCGAUACUGCCGGACUAGAGUUCGGAAGAGGCGAGUGGAAUUCCCCGGUGUAGCGGUGAAAUGCGCAGAUAUCGGGAGGAACACCUAUGGCGAAGGCAGCUCGCUGGGGACGUUACUG